GAUCGUAUCUUGAUGGUUGAAAAUCUUCUUUUCUCCUAAAACACUCUUAGAGAAUAAGAAGAUGUAGGAGGAUUUUGAUCUCUACGCUAGAGAUCAUAAGAAGAACUAUUUCUUUUCUUUUCUUCCUAAAAUCUAUGCACCAAAUCUCUACAAUGGAGAUAUAAGAAUUUUAUCCAACUUUUGGACAAAAGAAGGAGGAGACAUCCAUAUCUAAACAUGGAC
rnacentral:lncRNA from 1 species